rnacentral:rRNA from 1 species
AAGUCGAGCGGACCCUUCGGGGUUAGCGGCGGACGGGUGAGUAACACGUGGGUAAUCUGCCCAACUGACUGGAAUAACGCCUGGAAACGGGUGCUAAUGCCGGAUAGGCAACUGGUAGGCAUCUACCGGUUGGGAAAGGUGCAACUGCACCGCAGAUGGAGGAGCCCGCGGCGCAUUAGCUAGUUGGUGGGGUAACGGCUCACCAAGGCAACGAUGCGUAGCCGACCUGAGAGGGUGACCGGCCACACUGGGACUGAGACACGGCCCAGACUCCUACGGGAGGCAGCAGUAGGGAAUCUUCCACAAUGGGCGCAAGCCUGAUGGAGCAACGCCGCGUGAGUGAAGACGGCCUUCGGGUUGUAAAGCUCAGUCACUCGGGAAGAGCGGACGAGGGAGUGGAAAGCCCUCGUCGAGACGGUACCGAGAGAGGAAGCCCCGGCUAACUACGUG